rnacentral:lncRNA from 1 species
AACAGAGCAGGCAGUGGGGCACUGCCUGGGCUGUCUAGGCUCUGUCACCUCCUCAGGGCACGCUUUUGAUUGCUGAGGUAACUGCUCAAGCCUGGCUUCCAGGAGAAGGACCAUCCCCCAUCCUAAGGCUGCUGUGAGGACUGCAUGUGGUCAGCACACAAAGUACUUGGGAAAGCACCGGCAGGUGACUCGAUAAAUGAAAUGACUGAGCCAAAAUAUUCUCAUCCUCUCACCCUGUCCAACUGGAAAUGAGGACUACAAAGCAAACACGGCUGACAUACUCCACGGCACCUCCCCCACCACGGGCCAGCACAGUACACUACAGCUGCACAUCCUCUGCUCUGGUUGGUUCUAGAAACAAAGGUUUCUGACGUGACCGUGUGUGACUCUCAACGCGGUCACUUCCACUUUACAACCGCCCUGCUCCUGGAAAAGAGUUGCAUGUUACUAAUUAAAGUCAUGAAGCUUUUACUUC